rnacentral:rRNA from 1 species
CCAAAAUCUAUUAGAUGCGACCAUAUCGUGUGGUUCCGUGUCUAUAAAUUUUUCAUGAUUUGACCUCAAAUCAGGUAGGAACACCCGCUGAACUUAAGCAUAUCAAUAAGCGGAGGAAAAGAAAAUAACAAUGAUUCCCCUAGUAACUGCGAGUGAAGAGGGACAAGCUCAAAUUUUAAAUCUAUCGGGUUUUACCUGAUCGAGUUGUAAUUUGAAGAAGCGUUUUUUGCGUAUUUGGUCAGCCUAAGUCCUAUUGAAUGAGGCAUCAUGGAGGGUGAUAAUCCCGUCCGGUUGAUCAUUUGCGUUUUACGAUACGCUUUCUAAGAGUCAAGUUGUUUGGGAUUGCAGCUUAAAAUGGGAGGUAAAUUUCUCCUAAGGCUAAAUAACGGCGAGAGACCGAUAGCGAACAAGUACCGUGAGGGAAAGAUGAAAAGAACUUUGAAAAGAGAGUUAAACAGUACGUGAAAUUGUUGAAAGGGAAACGAUUGAAGCCAGUCGUACCUUCGGGUAAUCAGCCUUUCGGGUGCGAUUCUGUGGAGUGUGAGGAGCUUAAACACCUUCAUGUUUUGCAUAUUCGUACUCUUGGGUGUACUUGCCCGUGUGGUUGGUUAACAUCAAUUUUGGUGGUCAUAAAAUGACUGGGGGAAUGUAGCUUCGAUCUUGUAUUGAAGUGUUAUAGCCUUCGGUAGAUGUGAUGAUCGAGAUUGAGGAUUGCAACGGAUACCCUUUGGGGCUACCUGUCUGAUCUCUGAUCGUUGCUUUGGUGCCGAAAGCUUGCUUACGGUUAUCAAAGUCGAUGGUCAAUAGGUUAGAACGGGUUAAA